rnacentral:rRNA from 1 species
ACUCCUACGGGGAGGCAGCAGUAGGGAAUCUUCCACAAUGGACGAAAGUCUGAUGGAGCAACGCCGCGUGAGUGAAGAAGGGUUUCGGCUCGUAAAACUCUGUUGUUAAAAGAAGAACAUAUCUGAGAGUAACUGUUCAGGUAUUGACGGUAUUUAACCAGAAAGCCACGGCUAACUACGUGCCAGCAGCCGCGGUAAUACGUAGGUGGCAAGCGUUGUCCGGAUUUAUUGGGGCGUAAAAGCGAGCGCAGGUCGGUUUUUAAAGUCUGAUGUGAAAGCCUUCGGCUCAACCGAAGAAGUGCAUCGGAAACUGGGAAACUUGAGUGCAGAAGAGGACAGUGGAACUCCAUGUGUAGCGGUGAAAUGCGUAGAUAUAUGGAAGAACACCAGUGGCGAAGGCGGCUGUCUGGUCUGUAACUGACGCUGAGGCUCGAAAGUAUGGGUAGCAAACGAGGAUUAGAUACCCCGUGGUAAGGAUAGCG